UACGUAGGGUGCAAGCGUUAAUCGGAAUUACUGGGCGUAAAGCGUGCGCAGGCGGUUUUGUAAGUCUGUCGUGAAAUCCCCGGGCUCAACCUGGGAAUUGCGAUGGAGACUGCAAGGCUAGAAUCUGGCAGAGGGGGGUAGAAUUCCACGUGUAGCAGUGAAAUGCGUAGAGAUGUGGAGGAACACCGAUGGCGAAGGCAGCCCCCUGGGUUAACACUGGACGCUCAUGCACGAAAGCGUGGGGAGCAAA
rnacentral:rRNA from 1 species